AGGACGAACGCUGGCGGCGUGCUUAACACAUGCAAGUCGAGCGGUAAGGCCCUUUCGGGGGUACACGAGCGGCGAACGGGUGAGUAACACGUGGGCGACCUGCCCUCAGCUCUGGGAUAAGCCUGGGAAACUGGGUCUAAUACCGGAUAUGACUUCACAUCGCAUGGUGUGUUGUGGAAAGCCUGGUCUUAAUUGAUUCGGCGGCUGGGGAUGGGCCCGCGGCCUAUCAGCUUGUUGGUGGGGUGAUGGCCUACCAAGGCGACGACGGGUAGCCGGCCUGAGAGGGCGACCGGCCACACUGGGACUGAGACACGGCCCAGACUCCUACGGGAGGCAGCAGUGGGGAAUAUUGCGCAAUGGGCGGAAGCCUGACGCAGCGACGCCGCGUGGGGAUGACGGCCUUCGGGUGUAACCUCUUCGACCUUGACGAGCGAGAGUGACGGUAGGGUAGAGAAGCACCGGCCAACUACGUGCCAGCAGCCGCGGU
rnacentral:rRNA from 1 species